rnacentral:tRNA from 1 species
GCCUGGGUGGCUUAGUCGGUUGAGCACCUGCCUUCAGCUCAGGUCAUGAUCCCAGGGUCCUGGGAUCAAAUCCCAUAUCAGGCG